rnacentral:tRNA from 1 species
GCUUCUGUAAUGUCAACGGCUAGCAUGGGAGACUCUUAAUCUCCUCGUCCGGGUUCGAAUCCCGGCAGAGGCA